rnacentral:lncRNA from 1 species
GAUUUAAGUGGGUAGUUAUUUAAAGUAGGUAGCAUACUGCCAGGCAUGUAGUAGAGGCUAAUGAAGUCAUAGCUCCAGUCUGUUUCUCCCUACUAGAUAGUAGUACAUAAAUAAGAUACAGAAAAUAUGGGCAGAUUUCAAGGUGAGCUGUAACUAUGAUGAAUAUGAAGAAAGUGUAGAGGACAGGGAUUGUUUGGUGUAGAAAACAAAGUUUAGAGACUUCCUUUGAAGAUUUUAACUUAUAUGAAGGACAG